AAGCAUAUGCAAGUUUCCAAAUACAUGCAAAGUAAAAUUGUUGGCGACAUGGCACAUGUGUUAAAGUCUUCUGUCACAGUUGACUCAGGAAAAAAUGAAGACAUUGAUACACUUUUGCAUUAUGGAAUACACAAGUUGGCAGUUCCUCGCCCACUGCCACCCAAAUACAGGUAUUUUCAAGUAAUCCUUAUCUGUACGUAACAGACGAUUUUAUGAAGUUUUUCAUUUUCUGACUUCGUGAUAGAACUUAUUGGAGUACACUUUUUUUGGACAUAGGAGGAGUAUUGCCGCUACAAGCAUGAACAAUAAUAAAACAUUCCAAAGAAUAGUUUAUUUCAACGAUUAGAUUUGUUGUUU
rnacentral:lncRNA from 1 species